GUGCAGCAGGCGCGAAACUUUACAAUGUGCGAAAGCACGAUAAGGGAACUCCGAGUGCCUCCUAAGGAGGCUGUUCAGGUGUCUAAAAGCACCUGAAGGAAGGGCUGGGUAAGACCGGUGCCAGCCGCCGCGGUAACACCGGCAGCCCAAGUGGUAGCCACGUUUAUUGGGUCUAAAGCGUCCGUAGCCGGCUGGGUAAGUUCCUUGGGAAAUUUGGCUGCUCAACAGUCAAGCUUUCAGGGAAUACUGCCCGGCUUGGGACCGGGAGAGGUCAGAGGUACUCCAGGGGUAGGGGUGAAAUCCAUUAAUCCUUGGGGGACCACCGGUAGCGAAGGCGUCUGACCAGACCGGGUCCGACGGUGAGGGACGAAGGCUAGGGGCGCGAACCGGAUUAGAUACCCGCGUAGU
rnacentral:rRNA from 1 species